rnacentral:misc_RNA from 1 species
GAUGAAGAACGCAGCGAAAUGCGAUACUUGGUGUGAAUUGCAGAAUCCCGUGAACCAUCGAGUCUUUGAACGCAAGUUGCGCCCGAAGCCAUCAGGUUGAGGGCACGUCUGCCUGGGCGUCACAUAUCGUUGUCCAAUGCCUAUUGCAGUGCAAUAGGAAUUUCUAGGGCGAAUGAUGGCUUCCCGUGAGCGUUGUUGCCUCGCGGUUGGUUGAAAAUCGAGUCCUUGGUAGGGUGUGCCAUGGUAGAUGGUGGUCGAGUUAGAACGAUACCGAUCAUGUGCAUGCUCCCCAAAAUAUGGCCUCUAUGACCCACACGCGUCUUUUGACGCUCAUGACGAGACCUCAGGUCAGGCGGGGCUACCCGCUGAAUUUAAGCAUAUCAAUAAGCGGAGGA